GGAUUAGAUACCCUGGUAGUCCACACCGUAAACGCUGUCUACUAGCUGUUUGUGACUUUAAGUCGUGAGUAGCGAAGCUAACGCGCUAAGUAGACCGCCUGGGGAGUACGGCCGCAAGGUUAAAACUCAAAUGAAUUGACGGGGGCCCGCACAAGCGGUGGAGCAUGUGGUUUAAUUCGAUGCAACGCGAAGAACCUUACCUACACUUGACAUGCUGAGAACUUUCUAGAGAUAGAUUGGUGCCUUCGGGAACUCAGACACAGGUGCUGCAUGGCUGUCGUCAGCUCGUGCCG
rnacentral:rRNA from 1 species